rnacentral:rRNA from 1 species
GACGAACGCUGGCGGCGUGCCUAAUACAUGCAAGUCGAACGCACUCUCGUUUAGAUUGAAGGAGCUUGCUCCUGAUUGAUAAACAUUUGAGUGAGUGGCGGACGGGUGAGUAACACGUGGGUAACCUGCCCUAAAGUGGGGGAUAACACUUGGAAACAGAUGCUAAUACCGCAUAAAACCUAAACACCGCAUGGUGUAGGGUUGAAAGAUGGUUUCGGCUAUCACUUUAGGAUGGACCCGCGGUGCAUUAGUUAGUUGGUGAGGUAAAGGCUCACCAAGACCGUGAUGCAUAGCCGACCUGAGAGGGUAAUCGGCCACACUGGGACUGAGACACGGCCCAGACUCCUACGGGAGGCAGCAGUAGGGAAUCUUCCACAAUGGACGAAAGUCUGAUGGAGCAACGCCGCGUGAGUGAAGAAGGUUUUCGGAUCGUAAAACUCGGUUGUUGGAGAAGAAUGUAUCUGAUAGUAACUGAUCAGGUAGUGACGGUAUCCAACCAGAAAGCC